AGAGUUUGAUCCUGGCUCAGAUUGAACGCUGCGGAAUGCUUUACACAUGCAAGUCGAGCGGCAGCGCGGGGCAACCUGGCGGCGAGCGGCGAACGGGUGAGUAAUGCAUCGGAACGUAACCCUGUCGUGGGGGAUAACUAUCCGAAAGGAUGGCUAAUACCGCAUACGACCUGAGGGUGAAAGCGGGGGAUCGCAAGACCUCGCGCGAUAGGAGCGGCCGAUGCUCGAUUAGCUAGUUGGUGAGGUAAAGGCUCACCAAGGCGACGAUCGAUAGCUGGUCUGAGGACGACCAGCCACACUGGGACUGAGACACGGCCCAGACUCCUACGGGAGGCAGCAGUGGGGAAUUUUGGACAAUGGGCGAAAGCCUGAUCCAGCCAUUCCGCGUGAGUGAAGAAGGCCUUCGGGUUGUAAAGCUCUUUCGGCAGGAACGAAACGGUGGGCUCUAACAUAGCCUGCUAAUGACGGUACCUGAAGAAGAAGCACCGGCUAACUACGUGCCAGCAGCCGCGGUAAUACGUAGGGUGCGAGCGUUAAUCGGAAUUACUUGGCGUAAAGCGUGCGCAGGCGGUUUUGUAAGACAGAUGUGAAAUCCCCGGGCUUAACCUGGGAACUGCGUUUGUGACUGCAAGACUUGAGUGCGGCAGAGGGGGGUGGAAUUCCACGUGUAGCAGUGAAAUGCGUAGAGAUGUGGAGGAACACCGAUGGCGAAGGCAGCCCCCUGGGUCGACACUGACGCUCAUGCACGAAAGCGUGGGUAGCAAACAGGAUUAGAUACCCUGGUAGUCCACGCCCUAAACGAUGCCAACUAGGUGUUGGGGAAGGAGACUUCCUUAGUACCGUAGCUAACGCGCGAAGUUGGCCGCCUGGGGAGUACGGUCGCAAGAUUAAAACUCAAAUGAAUUGACGG
rnacentral:rRNA from 1 species